UACGGAGGGUGCGAGCGUUAAUCGGAAUUACUGGGCGUAAAGCGUGCGCAGGCGGCCCGCUAAGUCAGAUGUGAAAGCCCCGGGCUCAACCUGGGAACGGCAUUUGAAACUGGCGGGCUCGAGUUUGGGAGAGGGGGGCGGAAUUCCGGGUGUAGCGGUGAAAUGCGUAGAUAUCCGGAGGAACACCAGUGGCGAAGGCGGCCCCCUGGCCCAAGACUGACGCUGAGGCACGAAAGCGUGGGUAGCAAACAGG
rnacentral:rRNA from 1 species